rnacentral:RNase_P_RNA from 1 species
CGAGUCGGCUGGGCGGCCGCGUCGGCACCCUCACCGGUGCCGCCGAGGAACGUCCGGACUCCGCAGAGCAGGGUGGUUGUUAACGGCAACCCGGGGCGACCCGCGGGAAAGUGCCACAGAAAACAGACCGCCGGGGGCGUACGGCGUACGCGCUCGGUAAGGGUGAAACGGUGAGGUAAGAGCUCACCAGCACCCCGGGUGACCGGGGUGGCUAGGUAAACCCCACCCGGAGCAAGGCCAAGCAAGGCCCGAGCCGCAAGGCGAAGGCCGGCGCAGGCGUUCGAGGGCUGCUCGCCCGAGCCUGCGGGUAGGCUGCUCGAGCCUGCCGGCAACGGCAGGCCUAGAUGGAUGGCCGCCACCGGCGACCCAGGUCACCGGCCACAGAAUCCGGCGUACAGGCCGACUCGUCCG